GACGAACGCUGGCGGCGUGCUUAACACAUGCAAGUCGAACGGAAAGGCCCUGCUUUUGUGGGGUGCUCGAGUGGCGAACGGGUGAGUAACACGUGAGUAACCUGCCCUUGACUUUGGGAUAACUUCAGGAAACUGGGGCUAAUACCGGAUAGGAGCUCCUGCUGCAUGGUGGGGGUUGGAAAGUUUCGGCGGUUGGGGAUGGACUCGCGGCUUAUCAGCUUGUUGGUGGGGUAGUGGCUUACCAAGGCUUUGACGGGUAGCCGGCCUGAGAGGGUGACCGGCCACAUGAGGACUGAGGUACGGCCCAGACGCGUACGUGAGGCAGCAGUGGGAAAUAUUGCACAAUGAGCGGAAGCCUGAUGCGGCAACGCCGCGUGCGGGAUGACGGCCUUCGUGUGGUAAACCGCUUUCGCCUGUGACGAAGCGUGAUUGACGGUAAUAGGUAAAGAAGCACCGGCUAACUACGUG
rnacentral:rRNA from 1 species